AGUUUGAUCAUGGCUCAGGAUGAACGCUAGCGGCAGGCUUAAUACAUGCAAGUCAAGGGGGUAGCAAUACAACCGGCGCACGGGUGAGUAACGCGUACACAACAUACCAUAUACUGGGGUAUAGCUUUGGGAAACUGAAGGUAAUCCCCCCAUAACAUUGCGAGAGGGCAUCUGAUUGCAAUUAAGUUUCGGCGGUAUAUGAUUGGUGUGCGUUUGAUUAGCUAGUUGGUAGGGUAACGGCCUACCAAGGCGACGAUCAAUAGCUGGCGUGAGAGCGCGACCAGCCACACUGGAACUGAGACACGGUCCAGACUCCUACGGGAGGCAGCAGUAGGGAAUAUUGGACAAUGGAGGAAACUCUGAUCCAGCCAUGCCGCGUGAUAGAUGAAGGCCCUCUGGGUUGUAAAUAUCUUUUAUCUGGGAAGAAACAAUCUUAUUCUUAAGAUCUUGACGGUACCAGAGGAAUAAGCACCGGCUAACUCCGUG
rnacentral:rRNA from 1 species